UACGUAGGGUGCAGGCGUUAAUCGGAAUUACUGGGCGUAAAGCGUGCGCAGGCGGUUUGCUAAGAGAGAUGUGAAAUCCCCGGGCUUAACCUGGGAACUGCGUUUCUAACUGGCAGGCUUGGAGUGUGGCAGAGGGGGGUGGAAUUCCGACGGUGUAGCAGUGAAAUGCGUAGAGAUGUGGAGGAACACCGAUGGCGAAGGCAGCCCCUGGGCUAACACUGACGCUCGAUGACACGAAAGCGUGGGGAGCAAACGGG
rnacentral:rRNA from 1 species